UACGGAGGGUGCAAGCGUUAAUCGGAAUUACUGGGCGUAAAGCGCGCGUAGGUGGUUUGAUAAGCGAGAUGUGAAAGCCCCGGGCUCAACCUGGGAACGGCAUUUCGAACUGUCAGGCUAGAGUAUGGUAGAGGAGUGUGGAAUUUCCUGUGUAGCGGUGAAAUGCGUAGAUAUAGGAAGGAACACCAGUGGCGAAGGCGGCACUCUGGACCAAUACUGACACUGAGGUGCGAAAGCGUGGGGAGCAAACAGG
rnacentral:rRNA from 2 species